AGAUCAGUGCCUAAUUACCGCAACUGACGCUGCCACGGCUCGAUUUGUGGAGCUAGCCUUGCCGUUGAAUUGAUUACUUGCCCAGGAUGAUUUGCGGACCACGCCUGUCUAAGUUCCUUGGAACAGGACGUCAUAGAGGGUGAGAAUCCCGUAUGUGACAGGAAAUGGCACCCUAUGUAAAUCUCCUUCGACGAGUCGAGUUGUUUGGGAAUGCAGCUCUAAAUGGGAGGUAAAUUUCUUCUAAAGCUAAAUAUUGGCGAGAGACCGAUAGCGCACAAGUAGAGUGAUCGAAAGAUGAAAAGCACUUUGGAAAGAGAGUUAAAAAGCACGUGAAAUUGUUGAAAGGGAAGCGCUUGCAAUCAGACUUGUUUAAACUGUUCGGCCGGUCUUCUGACCGGUUUACUCAGUUUGGACAGGCCAGCAUCAGUUUCGGCGGCCGGAUAAAGGCUCUGGGAAUGUGGCCUCCACUUCGGUGGAGGUGUUAUAGCCCAGGGUGUAAUACGGCCAGCCGGGACUGAGGUCCGCGCUUCGGCUAGGAUGCUGGCGUAAUGGUUGUAAGCGACCCGUCUUAAAACCCGACCAAACACUUGCCACGACAAC
rnacentral:rRNA from 1 species